rnacentral:rRNA from 1 species
UGGGGAAUUUUGCACAAUGGGGGAAACCCUGAUGCAGCGACGCCGCGUGAUUUAGAAGGCCUUCGGGUUGUAAAAAUCUUUUCUAUGGGAAGAAAAUGACAGUACCAUAGGAAUAAGGACCGGCUAAUUACGUGCCAGCAGCCGCGGUAAUACGUAAGGUCCGAGCGUUGUCCGGAAUCAUUGGGCGUAAAGGGUACGUAGGCGGAUAAGCAAGUUAGAAGUGAAAUCCUAUAGCUCAACUAUAGUAAGCUUUUAAAACUGCUCAUCUUGAGGUAUGGAAGGGAAAGUGGAAUUCCUAGUGUAGCGGUGAAAUGCGCAGAUAUUAGGAGGAAUACCGGUGGCGAAGGCGACUUUCUGGCCAUAAACUGACGCUGAGGUACGAAAGCGUGGGUAGCAAACAGG